GCGGACGGGUGAGGAACACAUCGGAAUUUGCCCAGUCGUGGGGAUAACGUAGGGAAACUUACGCUAAUACCGCAUACGACCGAUAAGGUGAAAGCGGGGGAUCUGUAAGGACCUCGCGCGGAUGGAUAGCCGAUGUCGGAUUAGCUAGUUGGCGGGGGUAAGAGCCCACCAAGGCGACGAUCCGUAGCUGGUCUGAGAGGAUGAUCAGCCACACUGGGACUGAGACACGGCCCAGACUCCUACGGGAGGCAGCAGUGGGGAAUAUUGGACAAUGGGGGCAACCCUGAUCCAGCAAUGCCGCGUGUGUGAAGAAGGCCUUCGGGUUGUAAAGCACUUUUAUCCGGAACGAAACGCGCAGGGUGAAUAUCCUUGCGAACUGACGGUACCGGAGGAAUAAGCACCGGCUAACUUCGUGCCAGCAGCCGCGGUAAUACGAAGGGUGCAAGCGUUACUCGGAAUUACUGGGCGUAAGGGUGCGUAGGUGGUUGUAAGUUUGCUGUGAAAGCCCCGGGGCUCAACUCUUGGGAAUGGCCAGUGAAUACUGGGAUCAGCUUAGAAGUGCGGUAGAGGGUUAGGCGGAAAUUCCCGG
rnacentral:rRNA from 1 species